rnacentral:rRNA from 1 species
AUUGAACGCUGGCGGCAUGCCUUACACAUGCAAGUCGAACGGUAACAGGUCUUCGGAUGCUGACGAGUGGCGAACGGGUGAGUAAUACAUCGGAACGUGCCCGAGAGUGGGGGAUAACGAGGCGAAAGCUUUGCUAAUACCGCAUACGAUCUCAGGAUGAAAGCAGGGGACCGCAAGGCCUUGCGCUCACGGAGCGGCCGAUGGCAGAUUAGGUAGUUGGUGGGAUAAAAGCUUACCAAGCCGACGAUCUGUAGCUGGUCUGAGAGGACGACCAGCCACACGUGGACUGAGCCACGGCCAAGAGUCCUACGGGAGGCAGCGGUGGGGAAUUUUGGACAAUGGGCGCAAGCCUGAUCCAGCCAUGCCGCGUGCAGGAUGAAGGCCUUCGGGUUGUAAACUGCUUUUGUACGGAACGAAAAGACUCUUUCUAAUAAAGAGGGUCCAUGACGGUACCGUAAGAAUAAGCACCGGCUAACUACGUGCCAGCCGCCGCUGUAACAC